rnacentral:rRNA from 1 species
GACGAACGCUGGCAGUGUGCUUUACACAUGCAAGUCGAGCGGAUUUCUCUGUUUGUAGCAAUACAAACGGAGGAAUCGAGCGGCAAACGGGUGAGUAAUGGAUAGGUAAUCUACCAUAAUGACUGGGAUACCCCCUUGAAAAAGGGAUCAAUACCAGAUAAUGUCAGUUUAAAUACUUUUAAGCUGAAGAAAGAUGGCCUAAAGCUAUCACAUUAUGACGAGCCUAUCUCCUAUCAGCUUGUUGGUGAGGUAAUGGCUCACCAAGGCUAUGACGGGUAGCUGGUCUGAGAGGAUGGUCAGCCACACUGGAACUUAGACACGGUCCAGACUCCUACGGGAGGCAGCAGGUGGGAAUCUUGGGCAAUGGCGAAAGCCUGACCCAGCGACACUGCGUGGGUGAUGAAGAUCUUUGGAUUAGUAAAACCCUUUUCCUGAAGAUGAAAGGUAGGAUUGAGAAUAUCCUUCCUACCCUGACAGUAUUCAGGGAA